UACGAAGGGGGGCUAGCGUUGCUCGGAAUCACUGGGCGUAAAGGGUGCGUAGGCGGGUCUUUUAAGUCAGGGGUGAAAUCCUGGAGCUCAACUCCAGAACUGCCUUUGAUACUGGCGACCUUGAGUCCGGGAGAGGUGAGUGGAACUGCGAGUGUAGAGGUGAAAUUCGUAGAUAUUCGCAAGAACACCAGUGGCGAAGGCGGCUCACUGGCCCGGUACUGACGCUGAGGUGCGAAAGCGUGGGAGCGAACAGG
rnacentral:rRNA from 1 species